rnacentral:rRNA from 1 species
GGGUACUUGUACCUGGUGGCGAGCGGCGGACGGGUGAGUAAUGCCUAGGAAUCUGCCUGGUAGUGGGGGAUAACGUUCGGAAACGGACGCUAAUACCGCAUACGUCCUACGGGAGAAAGCAGGGGACCUUCGGGCCUUGCGCUAUCAGAUGAGCCUAGGUCGGAUUAGCUAGUUGGUGAGGUAAUGGCUCACCAAGGCUACGAUCCGUAACUGGUCUGAGAGGAUGAUCAGUCACACUGGAACUGAGACACGGUCCAGACUCCUACGGGAGGCAGCAGUGGGGAAUAUUGGACAAUGGGCGAAAGCCUGAUCCAGCCAUGCCGCGUGUGUGAAGAAGGUCUUCGGAUUGUAAAGCACUUUAAGUUGGGAGGAAGGGCAGUUACCUAAUACGUGAUUGUUUUGACGUUACCGACAGAAUAAGCACCGGCUAACUCUGUGCCAGCAGCCGCGGUAAUACAGAGGGUGCAAGCGUUAAUCGGAAUUACUGGGCGUAAAGCGCGCGUAGGUGGUUUGUUAAGUUGAAUGUGAAAUCCCCGGGCUCAACCUGGGAACUGCAUCCAAAACUGGCAAGCUAGAGUAUGGUAGAGGGUGGUGGAAUUUCCUGUGUAGCGGUGAAAUGCGUAGAUAUAGGAAGGAACACCAGUGGCGAAGGCGACCACCUGGACUGAUACUGACACUGAGGUGCGAAAGCGUGGGGAGCAAACAGGAUUAGAUACCCCUGGUAG